CUUCCGCAAUGUACGAAGUCUGACGGAGCACGCCGCGUGAGUGAUGAAGGCUUUCGGGUCGUAAAACUCUGUUGUUAGGGAAGAACAAGUGCUAGUUGAAUAAGCUGGCACCUUGACGGUACCUAACCAGAAAGCCACGGCUAACUACGUGCCAGCAGCCGCGGUAAUUCGUAGGUGGCAAGCGUUAUCCGGAAUUAUUGGGCG
rnacentral:rRNA from 1 species